CCUACGGGGGGCUGCAGUGAGGAAUCUUGCACAAUGGGCGCAAGCCUGAUGCAGCGACGCCGCGUGAAUGAUGAAGGCCUUCGGGUUGUAAAGUUCAGUAAGCAGGGAAGAAUAAGCAACGGGUAAUAUUCGUUGUGAUGACGGUACCUGCCUAAAGCCCCGGCUAACUACGUGCCAGCAGCCGCGGUAAUACGUAUGGGGCAAGCGUUGUUCGGAAUUAUUGGGCGUAAAGGGCGUCUAGGCGGGGGAUUAAGUUAGAUGUGAAAGCUAUGGGCUCAACCCAUAAAUUGCAUCUAAGACUGGUUCUCUUGAGUCCGGGAGAGGAGAGCGGAAUUCCAGGUGUAGCGGUGAAAUGCGUAGAUAUCUGGAAGAACACCAGUGGCGAAGGCGGCUCUCUGGCCUAGGACUGACGCUGAAGCGCGAAAGCGUGGGGAGCGAACAGGCUUAGAUACCCCUGUAGUC
rnacentral:rRNA from 1 species